rnacentral:lncRNA from 1 species
AAUGGAGUCCUGCUUUUUGUUUCAUGAAGGUAUCACCAACUGUGAAUUCCACACAGGUUGAGCAGAGAAGAUUUUACCACAGCUGCUACAGUCAAAGGAAAAUUGGCAGUUCAUUGUUGCUGUGACUAUCAGGUGGUUCAAGCCAUUCAAAACUGCAGGGCUAUCCGCACGCAGAUUUUUAUUUCCUGCAAGCCCCAUGGUGAAACCACAAGGAACAUCAUUGAGUGAGUCAUGAC